UGAGGAAUCUUCCACAAUGGGCGAAAGCCUGAUGGAGCAACGCCGCGUGCAGGAUGAAGGCCUUCGGGUCGUAAACUGCUUUUAUCUGUGAAGAAUAUGACGGUAACAGAGGAAUAAGCACCGGCUAACUACGUGCCAGCAGCCGCGGUCAUACGUAGGGUGCGAGCAUUAUCCGGAGUGACUGGGCGUAAAGAGUUGCGUAGGUGGUUUGUUAAGUGAAUGGUGAAAUUUCGUGGCUCAACCGCGAAACUAUUAUUCAAACUGGCAAACUCGAGAGUAGCAGAGGUAACUGGAAUUUCUAGUGUAGGGGUAAAAUCCGUAGAUAUUAGAAGGAACACCAAUGGCGUAGGCAGGUUACUGGGCUAUUUCUGACACUAAAGCACGAAAGCGUGGGGAGCGA
rnacentral:rRNA from 1 species